rnacentral:tRNA from 1 species
AGCAGCAUGGCGCAGUGGUAGUGCGCGGGGCCCAUAACCCCGAGGUCACUUGAUCGAAACAAGUUGCUGCUA